GCUUCCACUUAACUAAGAUCCUACGAGGGCCGAGCAUUUGACAACAGGUUGCUACUGACGAAUUGCGUUAGUAACGUCAUUUGCAAUAUCGUGUUCGGAAUGCGAUACGACUACGGAGACCGCGAAUUUCAAGUGUUAUGCGACAUUGUCAACCAACAAGUGGUGGACCUGGAUCCAGUCAGCCCAGCCAACCAACUACCAUUUCUUCGCAAUUUUCCACCAUUUAAAGGACAAUUCGAGAGAUUUAGAAAAAACAAUAGAACCAUCUCUGACAUUCUACAGAAACAUAUUGACACUCACCUUGAAAAGCAUGAUCCAGAGAAUGCUAACGAUUACAUAGAUGUCUAUCUGAACGAAGUGAAAGCAAGCGAGGCGCGUGGAGAG